rnacentral:rRNA from 1 species
AUUGAACGCUGGCGGCAGGCCUAACACAUGCAAGUCGGACGGUAGCACAGAGAGCUUGCUCUUGGGUGACGAGUGGCGGACGGGUGAGUAAUGUCUGGGGAUCUGCCCGAUAGAGGGGGAUAACCACUGGAAACGGUGGCUAAUACCGCAUAACGUCGCAAGACCAAAGAGGGGGACCUUCGGGCCUCUCACUAUCGGAUGAACCCAGAUGGGAUUAGCUAGUAGGCGGGGUAAUGGCCCACCUAGGCGACGAUCCCUAGCUGGUCUGAGAGGGUGACAAGCCACACUGGAACUGAGACACGGGCCAGACCCCUACGGGAGGCAGCAGUGGGGAAUAUUGCACAAUGGGCGCAAGCCUGAUGCAGCCAUGCCGCGUGUAUGAAGAAGGCCUUCGGGUUGUAAAGUACUUUCAGCGGGGAGGAAGGCGGUACGGUUAAUAACCGUACCGAUUGACGUUACCCGCAGAAGAAGCACCGGCUAACUCCGUGCCAGCCGCCGCGGUAA